rnacentral:rRNA from 1 species
CAAGAGCGUAUGUAAAAGUUGUUGCAGUUAAAAAGCUCGUAGUUGAACCUUGGGUUUGGUUGGCCGGUCCGCUUUUUUGCGAGUACUGGAUUCAACCGAGCCUUUCCUUCUGGCUAACUAGUCGUUUCGGCGGCUGGCGAACCAGGAUUUUUACUUUGAGAAAAUUAGAGUGUUCAAAGCAGGCAUUAGCUUGAAUAUAUUAGCAUGGAAUAAUAGAAUAGGACGUUAUGGUUCUAUUUUGUUGGUUUCUAGGACCAUCGUAAUGAUUAAUGGGGACGGUCGGGGGCAUCAGUAUUCAGUUGUCAGAGGUGAAAUUCUUGGAUUUACUGAAGACUAACUACUGCGAAAGCAUUUGCCAAGGACGUUUUCAUUAA